rnacentral:tRNA from 1 species
CUUCGUGGUGUAGUGGUCAGCACGCUCGACGCGUAACCGAGAGGUCCGUGGUUCGAUUCCCCGUGAAG